GUUACUGUGGUGGGAUAUCCACUUAGAGGAGACACAAUUUCAGUGACAAAGAGAGUUGCAUCUCGCAUUGAGGUCACAUCAUAUGCUCAUGGAUCGUCUGAUUUGUUGGGUAUUCAAAUUGAUGCUGCAAUAAAUUCUGGCAACAGCGGUGGCCCAGCAUUCAAUGAC